GACGGAGGAUGCAAGCGUUAUCCGGAAUGAUUGGGCGUAAAGCGUCCGCAGGUGGCCGUUCAAGUCUGCUGUCAAAGACCGGGGCUUAACUUCGGAAAGGCAGUGGAAACUGAACAGCUAGAGUAUGGUAGGGGCAGAGGGAAUUCCUGGUGUAGCGGUGAAAUGCGUAGAGAUCAGGAAGAACAUCGGUGGCGAAGGCGCUCUGCUGGGCCAUAACUGACACUCAGGGACGAAAGCUAGGGGAGCGAAUGGG
rnacentral:rRNA from 1 species